CCAAAGUAUUCGAUGUGAAAUUCAUCGCACAUGAUGACUUUUCGGAGAAGAAAAACUUGACUGAUUUGUUUUCGUUGACUUGAAAUCGAACCACAUCAACGAGGUAGAUAGCUGAUUUGACGAAUGCCGAAGCUGAGAUUUAUCGAUGUGCCGAUCCAAGUCAAAAUGCUUUUUUCAACGUAAAAUGUAAAUAAGAAAGAUAUUGAAAUGUUCCGAUGGGCGAUAGCUCUUUCGAAUCUUCCGGUGAUAAUUGCAACGAACGCUGCUUUGCAAUUCGUGAUACCUGUUCGUCAUCCUAAUUCAAGACUGAAUCACUCAAACUCGAAAACUCGAAGAGAAGAUCGUUAGAACGAAGUAGUCGAGAACGUAUAUAAUCGUCGAGAAGAGAUGCAACUGAAAAAGAACUCAAAGAGCAGAAGAAAGAAACCGAAAAAAUUGAAUCAGAGGAACAGACCUGUGGCGAAAUUUAGAAAUUCAGGAGCCAUUGGAUACGACUUUCAGAAGAAAAUCCUCUACGAUGAAUAAAGACCUACGAUCUGAAUCUGAACCAGUUGUCGAUUAUAUUGAAUACGAUGAGCUAUUUAGGCGCAGAAGGAGACUCAGAACAGGCUCGCGAUGAUAUAGAUCCCUAGCGAUGACGUUGAUUUGGCUUCGAACUGUAGG